rnacentral:rRNA from 1 species
CCAGUAGUCAUAUGCUUGUCUCAAAGAGUAAGCCAUGCAUGUCUAAGUUCACACCCUCGUACGGUGAAACCGCGAAUGGCUCAUUAAAUCAGUCGAGGUUCCUUAGAUGAUCCAUUUCUACUUGGAUAACUGUGGUAAUUCUAGAGCUAAUACAUGCCCAACAGCUCCGACCCCGGGCUUCACGGUUCGGGGAAAGAGCGCUUUUAUUAGUUCAAAACCAGUCGGGGGUUUCGGCCCUCGUGCUUUGGUGACUCUGGAUAACUUUGAGCCGAUCGCAUGGCCUCGAGCCGGCGACGCAUCUUUCAAAUGUCUGCCCUAUCAAAUGACGACGGUACGUGAUCUGCCUACCGUGUUGACUACGGGUAGCGGGGAAUCAGGGUUCGAUUCCGGAGAGGGAGCAUGAGA